rnacentral:tRNA from 1 species
GGGCCUCUAGCUCAAUCGGUCAGAGCUGCGGACUUUUAAUCCGUAGGUUGUGGGUUCGAGUCCCACGGGGCCCA